GAACGCCGUAGCAAUACGGAGUGGCAGACGGGUGAGUAACACGUGGGAACGUACCCUUUGGUUCGGAACAACACAGGGAAACUUGUGCUAAUACCGGAUAAGCCCUUACGGGGAAAGAUUUAUCGCCGAAGGAUCGGCCCGCGUCUGAUUAGCUAGUUGGUGGGGUAAGAGCCUACCAAGGCUGCGAUCGGUAGCUGGUCUGAGAGGACGAACAGCCACACUGGGAUUGAGAACGGCCCAGACUCCUACGGGGGGCAGCAGUGAGGAAUUUUCCGCAAUGGGCGAGGAGCCUGACGGAGCAACGCCGCGUGCAGGAGGACGCUUUUCGGAGUGUAAACUGCUUUUCUGUGGGACGAGGAUGGACGGUACCACAGGAAGAAGCCCCGGCUAACUACGUG
rnacentral:rRNA from 1 species